rnacentral:misc_RNA from 1 species
AAUAUAUAGAAUAUAUGAAUUCAUAUAUUUAUACUUGUUAAUAUAAUAAAUUAGAUUUAAAUAAAAUUUAAUUUUAAUUAAUUAUAUGUAAUCACAUGUAAAAUAAGUAUAACUUAUAUCUUAAUUAACCUCUUGGGUCCGAGGUGGGUACGAAUUUCCCUGUAAACGAGUAAUGGAUAAGGUUUAAAUAAGUUUUUUUAAUAUUUUUGAUUCUCUUAAUUAUAUUUUCAAUUACAUCCUUUAAUACAACAAUCCAGUCCUUCCUCGCCAACAAUGAUAACCUCUUUCCUCCGUCUCUCUUC